rnacentral:rRNA from 1 species
UACGUAGGGGGCAAGCGUUGUCCGGAAUUAUUGGGCGUAAAGCGCGCGCAGGCGGUCUCUUAAGUCUGAUGUGAAAUCUCGCAGCUUAACUGUGAGCGGUCAUUGGAAACUGAGGGACUUGAGGACAGGUGAGGAGAGUGGAAUUCCACGUGUAGCGGUGAAAUGCGUAGAGAUGUGGAGGAACACCAGUGGCGAAGGCGACUCUCUAGUCUGUAUCUGACGCUGAGGUGCAAAAGCGUGGGUAGCAAACAGG